rnacentral:pre_miRNA from 1 species
GUAGUAUUCCCUCCAUCCCAAAAUUCUUGUCUUACAUUUGUUUAGAUAUGGAUGUAUCUAACACUAAAAUGUAACUAGAUACAUCCGUAUUUAGACAAAUUUAAGAAAAGAAUUUUGGGACGGAGGGAGUACAGA